AGUAGACCUACAUUAAUUUCGUCUUUUACUCUCUGCCCCAGAACACCAACCUGCAGGCGUCCAUUGCAGAGGCUGAGCAGCGUGGUGAGCGGGCCCUCAAGGAUGCAGAUGCCAAAUUCCAAGACUUGCAGGCUGCUCUGCAGAAGGCCAAGGAGGACCUGGCCCGGCUGCUGCGCGAGUACCAGGAGCUGAUGAACGUUAAGCUGGCCCUGGAUGUGGAGAUCGCUACCUACAGGAAGCUGCUGGAGGGUGAAGAGUGCAGGUUGUCUGGAGAGUUUCAGAAUGCUGUGAGCAUUU
rnacentral:lncRNA from 1 species